UACGGAGGGUGCAAACGUUGCUCGGAAUCAUUGGGCGUAAAGCGCACGUUGGUGGCCUGUUAAGUCGGGUGUGAAAUCCCUGGGCUCAACCCAGGAAGUGCACUCGAAACUGGCAGGCUUGAGUACUGAAGAGGGUCGCGGAAUUCCCGGUGUAGAGGUGAAAUUCGUAGAUAUCGGGAGGAACACCAGUGGCGAAGGCGGCGACCUGGGCAGAUACUGACACUGAGGUGUGAAAGCGUGGGGAGCAAACAGG
rnacentral:rRNA from 1 species